AGAGAAUAGAUACCCCGGUAGUCCACGCCGUAAACGAUGAUAACUAGCUGUCGGGGGCCUUAGGUUUUCGGUGGCGCAGCUAAACGCAUUAAGUUAUCCGCCUGGGGAGUACGGCCGCAAGGUUAAAACUCAAAGAAAUUGACGGGGCCUGCACAAGCGGUGGAGCAUGUGGUUUAAUUCGAAAGCAACGCGCAGAACCUUACCAGCGUUUGACAUCCUCAUCGCGGAUACCAGAGAUGGUUUCCUUCAGUUCGGCUGGAUGAGUGACAGGUGCUGCAUGGCUGUCGUCAGCUCGUGUCGUGAGAUGUUGGGUUAAGUCCCGCAACGAGCGCAACCCUCGUCUUAGUUGCCAUCAUUUAGUUGGGCACUCUAAAGAAACCGCCGGUGAUAAGCCGGAGGAAGGUGGGGAUGACGUCAAGUCCUCAUGGCCCUUACGCGCUGGGCUACACACGUGCUACAAUGGCGGUGACAGUGGGCAGC
rnacentral:rRNA from 1 species